rnacentral:rRNA from 1 species
AGAGCGAACGCUGGCGGCAGGCUUAACACAUGCAAGUCGAGCGGGCGUAGCAAUACGUCAGCGGCAGACGGGUGAGUAACGCGUGGGAACGUACCUUUUGGUUCGGAACAACACAGGGAAACUUGUGCUAAUACCGGAUAAGCCCUUACGGGGAAAGAUUUAUCGCCGAAAGAUCGGCCCGCGUCUGAUUAGCUAGUUGGUGAGGUAACGGCUCACCAAGGCGACGAUCAGUAGCUGGUCUGAGAGGAUGAUCAGCCACAUUGGGACUGAGACACGGCCCAAACUCCUACGGGAGGCAGCAGUGGGGAAUAUUGGACAAUGGGCGCAAGCCUGAUCCAGCCAUGCCGCGUGAGUGAUGAAGGCCCUAGGGUUGUAAAGCUCUUUCAACGGUGAAGAUAAUGACGGUAACCGUAGAAGAAGCCCCGGCUAACUUCGUGCCAGCAGCCGC